GGGUUGUGAGGUUAAGCGACUAAGCGUACACGGUGGAUGCCCUGGCAGUCAGAGGCGAUGAAGGACGUGCUAAUCUGCGAUAAGCGUCGGUAAGGUGAUAUGAACCGUUAUAACCGGCGAUUUCCGAAUGGGGAAACCCAGUGUGAUUCGUCACACUAUCAUUAACUGAAUCCAUAGGUUAAUGAGGCGAACCGGGGGAACUGAAACAUCUAAGUACCCCGAGGAAAAGAAAUCAACCGAGAUUCCCCCAGUAGCGGCGAGCGAACGGGGAGCAGCCCAGAGCCUGAAUCAGUGUGUGUGUUAGUGGAAGCGUCUGGAAAGGCGCGCGAUACAGGGUGACAGCCCCGUACACAAAAAUGCACAUGCUGUGAGCUCGAUGAGUAGGGCGGGACACGUGGUAUCCUGUCUGAAUAUGGGGGGACCAUCCUCCAAGGCUAAAUACUCCUGACUGACCGAUAGUGAACCAGUACCGUGAGGGAAAGGCGAAAAGAACCCCGGCGAGGGGAGUGAAAAAGAACCUGAAACCGUGUACGUACAAGCAGUGGGAGCACGCUUAGGCGUGUGACUGCGUACCUUUUGUAUAAUGGGUCAGCGACUUAUAUUCUGUAGCAAGGUUAACCGAAUAGGGGAGCCGAAGGGAAACCGAGUCUUAACUGGGCGUUAAGUUGCAGGGUAUAGACCCGAAACCCGGUGAUCUAGCCAUGGGCAGGUUGAAGGUUGGGUAACACUAACUGGAGGACCGAACCGACUAAUGUUGAAAAAUUAGCGGAUGACUUGUGGCUGGGGGUGAAAGGCCAAUCAAACCGGGAGAUAGCUGGUUCUCCCCGAAAGCUAUUUAGGUAGCGCCUCGUGAAUUCAUCUCCGGGGGUAGAGCACUGUUUCGGCAAGGGGGUCAUCCCGACUUACCAACCCGAUGCAAACUGCGAAUACCGGAGAAUGUUAUCACGGGAGACACACGGCGGGUGCUAACGUCCGUCGUGAAGAGGGAAACAACCCAGACCGCCAGCUAAGGUCCCAAAGUCAUGGUUAAGUGGGAAACGAUGUGGGAAGGCCCAGACAGCCAGGAUGUUGGCUUAGAAGCAGCCAUCAUUUAAAGAAAGCGUAAUAGCUCACUGGUCGAGUCGGCCUGCGCGGAAGAUGUAACGGGGCUAAACCAUGCACCGAAGCUGCGGCAGCGACGCUUAUGCGUUGUUGGGUAGGGGAGCGUUCUGUAAGCCUGCGAAGGUGUGCUGUGAGGCAUGCUGGAGGUAUCAGAAGUGCGAAUGCUGACAUAAGUAACGAUAAAGCGGGUGAAAAGCCCGCUCGCCGGAAGACCAAGGGUUCCUGUCCAACGUUAAUCGGGGCAGGGUGAGUCGACCCCUAAGGCGAGGCCGAAAGGCGUAGUCGAUGGGAAACAGGUUAAUAUUCCUGUACUUGGUGUUACUGCGAAGGGGGGACGGAGAAGGCUAUGUUGGCCGGGCGACGGUUGUCCCGGUUUAAGCGUGUAGGCUGGUUUUCCAGGCAAAUCCGGAAAAUCAAGGCUGAGGCGUGAUGACGAGGCACUACGGUGCUGAAGCAACAAAUGCCCUGCUUCCAGGAAAAGCCUCUAAGCAUCAGGUAACAUCAAAUCGUACCCCAAACCGACACAGGUGGUCAGGUAGAGAAUACCAAGGCGCUUGAGAGAACUCGGGUGAAGGAACUAGGCAAAAUGGUGCCGUAACUUCGGGAGAAGGCACGCUGAUAUGUAGGUGAAGUGAUUUACUCAUGAAGCUGAAAUCAGUCGAAGAUACCAGCUGGCUGCAACUGUUUAUUAAAAACACAGCACUGUGCAAACACGAAAGUGGACGUAUACGGUGUGACGCCUGCCCGGUGCCGGAAGGUUAAUUGAUGGGGUCAGCGCAAGCGAAGCUCUUGAUCGAAGCCCCGGUAAACGGCGGCCGUAACUAUAACGGUCCUAAGGUAGCGAAAUUCCUUGUCGGGUAAGUUCCGACCUGCACGAAUGGCGUAAUGAUGGCCAGGCUGUCUCCACCCGAGACUCAGUGAAAUUGAACUCGCUGUGAAGAUGCAGUGUACCCGCGGCAAGACGGAAAGACCCCGUGAACCUUUACUAUAGCUUGACACUGAACAUUGAGCCUUGAUGUGUAGGAUAGGUGGGAGGCUUUGAAGUGUGGACGCCAGUCUGCAUGGAGCCGACCUUGAAAUACCACCCUUUAAUGUUUGAUGUUCUAACGUUGACCCGUAAUCCGGGUUGCGGACAGUGUCUGGUGGGUAGUUUGACUGGGGCGGUCUCCUCCUAAAGAGUAACGGAGGAGCACGAAGGUUGGCUAAUCCUGGUCGGACAUCAGGAGGUUAGUGCAAUGGCAUAAGCCAGCUUGACUGCGAGCGUGACGGCGCGAGCAGGUGCGAAAGCAGGUCAUAGUGAUCCGGUGGUUCUGAAUGGAAGGGCCAUCGCUCAACGGAUAAAAGGUACUCCGGGGAUAACAGGCUGAUACCGCCCAAGAGUUCAUAUCGACGGCGGUGUUUGGCACCUCGAUGUCGGCUCAUCACAUCCUGGGGCUGAAGUAGGUCCCAAGGGUAUGGCUGUUCGCCAUUUAAAGUGGUACGCGAGCUGGGUUUAGAACGUCGUGAGACAGUUCGGUCCCUAUCUGCCGUGGGCGCUGGAGAACUGAGGGGGGCUGCUCCUAGUACGAGAGGACCGGAGUGGACGCAUCACUGGUGUUCGGGUUGUCAUGCCAAUGGCACUGCCCGGUAGCUAAAUGCGGAAGAGAUAAGUGCUGAAAGCAUCUAAGCACGAAACUUGCCCCGAGAUGAGUUCUCCCUGACUCCUUGAGAGUCCUGAAGGAACGUUGAAGACGACGACGUUGAUAGGCCGGGUGUGUAAGCGCAGCGAUGCGUUGAGCUAACCGGUACUAAUGAACCGUGAGGCUUAACCUUACAACGCCGAAG
rnacentral:rRNA from 1 species